UCAUAUGCUUGUCUCAAAGAUUAAGCCAUGCAUGUCUAAGUGCAAACCGCUUGUACGGUGAAACCGCGAAAGGCUCAUUAAAUCAGUUAUGGUUCCUUAGAUCGUACCCUGUUACUUGGAUAACUGUGGUAAUUCUAGAGCUAAUACAUGCCGAUAGAGUUCCGACCUCGUGCCGCGUGUAGUGCCUUCGCUUUCGGGCGUUUGGUGCAGCCGGCGUCGUGGAAAGAACGCUUUUAUUAGAUCAAAACCGGCCGGACGCGCGUCUUCGGUGCGUGUAGCGCUUCGCCUUCGGGCGUUCGCUCGCGGUCAACGCUGAUUUCGCACGCGUAAGUGGUCCGCGCAAAGACUUGGUGAUUCUGAAUAACUUUUGGCUGAUCGCACGGUCUUCGUACCGGCGACGCAUCUUUCAAAUGUCUGCCUUAUCAACUGUCGACGGUAGGUUCGACGCCUACCGUGGUAGUAACGGGUAACGGGGAAUCAGGGUUCGAUUCCGGAGAGGGAGCCUGAGAAACGGCUACCACAUCCAAGGAAGGCAGCAGGCGCGCAAAUUACCCACUCCCAGCGCGGGGAGGUAGUGACGAAAAAUAACGAUACGGGACUCAUCCGAGGCCCCGUAAUCGGAAUGAGUACACUUUAAAACCUUGGUUAACGAGGAUCAAUUGGAGGGCAAG
rnacentral:rRNA from 1 species